UACAGAGGUGGCAAGCGUUGUUCGGAAUUACUGGGCGUAAAGGGCGCGUAGGCGGCCAUCUAAGUCAGACGUGAAAUCCCCCGGCUUAACCUGGGAACUGCGUCUGAUACUGGACGGCUUGAGUAUGGGAGAGGGAUGUAGAAUUCCAGGUGUAGCGGUGAAAUGCGUAGAUAUCUGGAGGAAUACCGGUGGCGAAGGCGGCAUCCUGGACCAUUACUGACGCUGAGGCGCGAAGGCUAGGGGAGCAAACGGG
rnacentral:rRNA from 1 species